GCGCGAAAACUUCGCACUGCGCGAAAGCGCGACGAGGGAAUCCCAAGUGUAUGCACGUUUAGUGUAUACUGUUUUUUCUGUCUAAAAAGCAGAGAGAGUAAGAGCUGGGUAAGACGGGUGCCAGCCGCCGCGGUAAUACCUGCAGCUCGAGUGGUGAUCGUUAUUAUUGGGCCUAAAACGUCCGUAGCCGGUCUUUUAAAUGCCUGGGUAAAUCGUAUGGCUUAACCAUACGAAUUCUGGGUAGACUGUUAGACUUGAGACCGGGAGAAGCUAGAGGUACUCCUGGGGUA
rnacentral:rRNA from 1 species